rnacentral:rRNA from 1 species
GGCGGCAUGCCUUACACAUGCAAGUCGAACGGCAGCACGGGAGCAAUCCUGGUGGCGAGUGGCGAACGGGUGAGUAAUAUAUCGGAACAUACCCUAGAGUGGGGGAUAACGUAGCGAAAGUUACGCUAAUACCGCAUACGAUCUACGGAUGAAAGUGGGGGCUCGCAAGACCUCAUGCUCAUGGAGUGGCCGAUAUCUGAUUAGCUAGUUGGCGGGGUAAAAGCCCACCAAGGCGACGAUCAGUAGCUGGUCUGAGAGGACGACCAGCCACACUGGGACUGAGACACGGCCCAGACUCCUACGGGAGGCAGCAGUGGGGAAUUUUGGACAAUGGGCGCAAGCCUGAUCCAGCAAUGCCGCGUGUGUGAAGAAGGCCUUCGGGUUGUAAAGCACUUUUGUCAGGGAAGAAACGGUACGGGCUAAUACCCUGGACUAAUGACGGUACCUGAAGAAUAAGCACCGGCUAACUACGUGCCAGCAGCCGCGGUAAUACGUANGGUGCAAGCGUUAAUCGGAAUUACUGGGCGUAAAGCGUGCGCAGGCGGUUAUAUAAGUCAGAUGUGAAAUCCCCGGGCUCAACCUGGGCACUGCAUUUGAGACUGUAUGGCUAGAGUGUGUCAGA